UGUUGUGAGGAAGGCCACCAAGCUAUACAGCUCAGGCUUCGAGAGGAGUACCCCGGAGAGGGUACUGAGACAAGGACCCAGGCCCUAUGGGCCCAAGCAGGCCGUAGAAAACUUUGCAAUGCGCGAAAGCUCGACAAGGUUAAUCUGAGUGGUUCCUGUUAAAAGGAACACUUUUGUUAGUCGUAGAACCACUGAUGAAUAAUGGGGUGGGCAAGUUCUGGUGUCAGUCGCCGCGGUAAAACCAGCACCUCAAGUGGUCAGGAUGAUUAUUGGGCCUAAAGCAUCCGUAGCCUGUUCUGUAAGUUUUCGGUUAAAUCCAUAAGCUCAACUUAUGGGCUGCCGAAAAUACUGCAGGACUAGGGAGUGGGAGAGGUAGACGGUACUCGGUAGGAAGGGGUAAAAUCCUUUGAUCUAUUGAUGACCACCUGUGGCGAAGGCGGUCUACCAGAACACGUUCGACGGUGAGGGAUGAAAGCUGGGGGAGCAAACCGGAUUAGAUACCCGGGUAGUCCCAGCUGUAAACGAUGCAAACUCGAUGAUGCGUUGGCUUGUUGCUAGCGCAGUGUCGCAGGGAAGCCGUUAAGUUUGCCGCCUGGGAAGUACGUACGCAAGUAUGAAACUCAAAGGAUUGACGG
rnacentral:rRNA from 1 species